rnacentral:rRNA from 1 species
CGGAGGGUGCAAGCGUUAUCCGGAUUCACUGGGUUUAAAGGGUGCGUAGGUGGGUUGGUAAGUCAGUGGUGAAAUCUCCGUGCUUAACAUGGAAACUGCCAUUGAUACUACUGAUCUUGAAUUUUCAGGAGGUAAGCGGAAUAUGUCAUGUAGCGGUGAAAUGCUUAGAUAUGACAUAGAACACCAAUUGCGAAGGCAGCUUACUACAGGAACAUUGACACUGAUGCACGAAAGCGUGGGGAUCAAACAGGAUUAGAUACCCUGGUAGUCCACGCCCUAAACGAUGGAUACUCGACAUUUGUGAUACACAAUAAGUGUCUGAGCGAAAGCAUUAAGUAUCCCACCUGGGAAGUACGACCGCAAGGUUG